rnacentral:rRNA from 1 species
UACAGAGGUCUCAAGCGUUGUUCGGAUUCAUUGGGCGUAAAGGGUGCGUAGGCGGCGCGGUAAGUCGGGUGUGAAAUCUCGGAGCUUAACUCCGAACUGCAUUCGAUACUGCCGUGCUUGAGGACUGGAGAGGAGACUGGAAUUUACGGUGUAAGCGGUGAAAUGCGUAGAUAUCGUAAGGAAGACCAGUGGCGAAGGCGGGUCUCUGGACAGUUCCUGACGCUGAGGCACGAAGGUCAGGGGAGCAAACGGG